GGAGUAACGUAACGUACGUAGUCGAACCCUACGUCCCGUCCGUCAGGGAGGUAAUCGUCGGAAACGGCGUCUAAUACCCCGUAUGAAGCUGGACGGCAUCGUCUGGUUUUGAAAGAAUAUCGGAGACGGAUGGGCAUGCGGCGCAUUAGCUAGUUGGCGGGGUAACGGCCCACCAAGGCGACGAUGCGUAGGGGUUCUGAGAGGAAGGUCCCCCACACUGGUACUGAGACACGGACCAGACUCCUACGGAAGGCAGCAG
rnacentral:rRNA from 1 species